CCUACGGGAGGCAGCAGUCGAGAAUCAUUCACAAUGGGGGAAACCCUGAUGGUGCGACGCCGCGUGGGGGAAUGAAGGUCUUCGGAUUGUAAACCCCUGUCAUGUGGGAGCAAAUUAAAAAGAUAGUACCACAAGAGGAAGAGACGGCUAACUCUGUGCCAGCAGCCGCGGUAAUACAGAGGUCUCAAGCGUUGUUCGGAAUCACUGGGCGUAAAGCGUGCGGAGGCCGUUUCGUAAGUCGUGUGUGAAAGGCGCGGGCUCAACCCGCGGACGGCACAUGAUACUGCGAGACUAGAGUAAUGGAGGGGGAACCGGAAUUCUCGGUGUAGCAGUGAAAUGCGUAGAUAUCGAGAGGAACACUCGUGGCGAAGGCGGGUUCCUGGACAUUAACUGACGCUGAGGCACGAAGGCCAGGGGAGCAAACAGGAUUAGAUACCCCAGUAGUC
rnacentral:rRNA from 1 species